AGCAGUCGCCGCGGUAAAACGGAGGAUCCAAGCGUUAUCCGGAAUCAUUGGGUUUAAAGGGUCCGUAGGCGGUCUUGUAAGUCAGUGGUGAAAGCCCAUCGCUCAACGGUGGAACGGCCAUUGAUACUGCAGGACUUGAAUUAUUGGGAAGUAACUAGAAUAUGUAGUGUAGCGGUGAAAUGCUUAGAGAUUACAUGGAAUACCAAUUGCGAAGGCAGGUUACUACCAAUUGAUUGACGCUGAUGGACGAAAGCGUGUGUAGCGAACAGGAUUAGAUACCCCUGUAGUCCCUGUCUUUUAUAC
rnacentral:rRNA from 1 species